rnacentral:rRNA from 1 species
GUACACGCUGUGACUAGCAUAUCAAUAAGCGGAGGAAAAGAAACUAACAAGGAUUCCCCUAGUAACGGCGAGUGAAGCGGGAAGAGCUCAAAUUUGAAAUCUUAAAGGGUUUCCCUUUACGAAUUGUAGUUUAAAGAAGUGUUUUCUGUUGAGGUUUUGGUAAAAGUUCUUUGGAAUAGGACAUCAUAGAGGGUGAGAAUCCCGUAUUUGACCUUUACUUUCAACUUUGUGAUACACUUUCAAAGAGUCGGAUUGUUUGGGAAUGCAGUCCAAAAUGGGCGGUAAAUUUCAUCUAAAGCUAAAUAUUGGCGAGAGACCGAUAGCGAACAAGUACCGUGAGGGAAAGAUGAAAAGAACUUUGAAAAGAGAGUUAAGCAGUACAUGAAAUUGUCAAAAGGGAAGCGUUUGACACCAGUGUUGUUUUUCUGAAAAUCAAUUAAAGAACUGUUUAUGCUAAGCUGUUUAGACUUUAUCAGCUAUCUGUUUAGUUUUGAGCUUUUCUUUAAUGCACUUUUCAGUUAACAAGUCAACAUCAAUUUCUUUUGCUGUAAAAAAGCUUGAGGAAGGUGGCUUGAGAUUCGUCUUAAGUGUUUAUAGCCUCUUGCCUAUGCAGUCGGAGAGAUUGAGGUCUGCAGCGUAGAUCCUUCGGGGCUAAAUGCAUUUGUGCUAAGUUAUAGCAUUUCAUAGACAACUUGUUGACUAUGAUUUGUCUUGUAGCUUACUCGCUUAUGUUAUUUUACCUACGCUUAGGAUGUUGAAGUCAUCGUAUCGCGC